UUAUAUACAAGUUGAAUACAGAGGCGACGAAGGGACAGAAAAACAAGAAAUCCCCAAACAAGGCGAUGAAGAAAUGGAAGGGGAAGAAGAAAAGCAAGAGGAAGAAGGAAAAGAAGAGGAAGAAGAAAAGGUAUGUGUUUUUACAAGGGAUUUUAAAGACAUCUUAAUGGGGUUUUAAAGAUUUAAAUUCGUUUUAAAAGAUAGGUAGUGUUCGAUAAGUAUUUACAACGGAUUUUAAAAGCUUUUUAAAAAGUGAUUUACAUGAGUGACUUGUAGUUAUAAAACUUGUAAUUUUAUAUACAGGUUGAAUACAGAGGCGACGAAGGGACAGAAAAACAAGAAAUCCCCAAACAAGGCGAUGAAGAAAUGGAAGGGGAAGAAGAAAAGCAAGAGGAAGAAGGAAAAGAAAAGGAAGAAGAAAAGGUAUGUGUUUUUACAAGGGAUUUUAAAGACAUCUUAAUGGGGUUUUAAAGAUUUAAAUUCGUUUUAAAGAUUUAAAUUCGUUUUAAAGGAUAGGCAGUGUUCGAUAAGUAUUUACAACGGAUUUUAAAAGCUUUUUAAAAAGUGAUUUACAUGAGUAACUUGUAGUUAUAAAACUUGUUAUUUUAUAUACAGGUUGAAUACAGAGGCGACGAAGAGACAGAAAAACAAGAAAUCCCCAAACAAGGCGAUGAAGAAAUGGAAGGGGAAGAAGAAAAGCAAGAGGAAGAAGGAAAAGAAGAGGAAGAAGAAAAGGUAUGUGUUUUUACAAGGGAUUUUAAAGACAUCUUGAUGGGGUUUUAAAGAUUUAAA
rnacentral:sRNA from 1 species